ACCCGCUGAACUUAAGCAUAUUAUUAAGCGGAGGAAAAGAAACUAACAAGGAUGCCCUCAGUAACGGCGAGUGAAGCGGGCAAAGCUCAACCUGUAAAUCGAAGCUCUUGACAGGACUUCGAAUUGUGGGCUAAAGACGCGUCAUCAGCGAGCAACUUCGGUACAAGUCUUUUGGAACAAGGCAUCAGAGAGGGUGAGAAUCCCGUCUUUGACCGAGGGUUUGCCGCGUACGAUACGUGUUCAUCGAGUCGAGUUCUUUGGGAUUGGAACUCUAAGUGGGUGGUAAAUUUCAUCUAAAGCUAAAUAAUGGCGAGAGACCGAUAGCGAAAAAGUACCGUGAGGGAAAGAUGAAAAGAACUUUGAAAAGAGAGUCAAAUAGUACUUGAAAUUGCUAAGAGGGAAGGACUGAAAACUUAUUAUUCGUUCGAUGUUGUAUUUACCAUUUCGCUUGGCCCUUUAAGUUGGGGUCCAGAUCGCAAGACUGUGAUUUCUCGGCUGUAAAGGGUAAGUAGGUGGGUCCUGCAAUGUCGAAUCGGGUCAAAAUCAAUUCGGGAGAGAAGAGAAAGCCAGUAGAAAGGUAGGCCAAUAGGGGUUUCUCUUGCGGCUGUUAUAGUCUGCUGGU
rnacentral:rRNA from 1 species